rnacentral:rRNA from 1 species
UGCAUGUCUAAGUACAUGCCGUAUUAAGGCGAAACCGCGAAUGGCUCAUUAAAUCAGUUAUGGUUCCUUGGAUCGUACCUUACUACUUGGAUAACUGUGGCAAUUCUAGAGCUAAUACAUGCAGCAGAGCUCCGACCCUCUGGGGACGAGCGCUUUUAUUAGACCAAAACCAAUCGGACCUCGUGUCCGUAUUAUGUGGUGACUCUGUAUAACUUUGGGCUGAUCGCACGGGCUCGUCCCGGCGACGUAUCUUUCAAGUGUCUGCCUUAUCAACUGUCGAUGGUAGGUUACGCGCCUACCAUGGUCGUAACGGGUGACGGGGAAUCAGGGUUCGAUUCCGGAGAGGGAGCCUGAGAAACGGCUACCACAUCCAAGGAAGGCAGCAGGCGCGCAAAUUACCCACUCCCAGAACGGGGAGGUAGUGACGAAAAAUAACAAUACGGGACUCUUUUGAGACCCCGUAAUUGGAAUGAGUACACUCUAAAUCCUUUAACGAGGAUCAAUUGGAGGGCAAGUCUGGUGCCAGCAGCCGCGGUAAUUCCAGCUCCAAUAGCGUAUAUUAAAGUUGUUGCGGUUAAAAAGCUCGUAGUUGGAUCUCAGUUCCAGACGGGUGGUCCGCCUACCGGUGGUUACUGCCUGUUCUGAACAGCCAGCCGGUUUCCUUUGAUGAUCUUCACCGGUUGUCUUGGGUGACCGGCAAGUUUACUUUGAAAAAAUUAGAGUGCUCAAAGCAGGCGUGACGCCUGAAUAAUGGUGCAUGGAAUAAUGGAAUAGGACCUCGGUUCUAUUUUGUUGGUUUUCGGAAUACGAGGUAAUGAUUAAGAGGGACAGACGGGGGCAUUCGUAUUGCGACGCUAGAGGUGAAA